rnacentral:rRNA from 1 species
UACGGGGGGAGCAAGCGUUGUUCGGAUUUACUGGGCGUAAAGGGCGCGUAGGCGGCACUGCAAGUCAGUUGUGAAAUCUCCGGGCUUAACCCGGAAAGGUCAACUGAUACUGCAGGGCUAGAGUGCAGAAGGGGCAACUGGAAUUCUCGGUGUAGCGGUGAAAUGCGUAGAGAUCAGGAGGAACACCCGUGGCGAAGGCGGCACUCUGGGUCGGCCCUGACGCUGAGGCGCGAAAGCGUGGGGAGCGAACGGG